rnacentral:lncRNA from 1 species
AAGAAGAAGCCUGAAGGAGGAGAGAUUACUAGAAACAAAAUCUGUUUACUAUUUUAUCUGUGGAUUAGCUGUCGGAGAAGAGGAGCUUGUGAAAUUCAGAUAAAAUAACAACCCAAUGUGUAUAUCCCAUGACAAAUUAGCUAACAACAGCAAGAUACCUGGCUAAAUUGGCAUACAUUUUUAAUGCUUUUCGACCUGUCCUCAAAUUAUGUAGUUGGUUCAGAGUUUAGAUUUUUCAACCUGCGUGUCCUGAUCGCGUCUGGUGUGGGUGAACAAAAUCAACACACGCGAGUGGUGUGUUAGCAUGUCCUGGCCUGGUGUUCAUAGUGUACUCCCAGGCAGUGUCCCUGCUCCCCUGCCCUCAGUUCUGGGCUGUGUGUUUCUUCACCAUGAUCAUCCUGUUAGGAUUGGACAGCCAGAGGACUCAAGCCCUAGGACCAUGCCUCAGGACUACCUGGCCUGAUGACUCCUUGCUGUCCCCAGUCCACCUGGUCCUGCUGCUGCUCCAGUUUCAAUUGUUCUGCCUGUGGCUAUGGAACACUAACCUGUUCACCGGACGUGCUACCUUGUCCCAAAACUGCUGUUUUGGACUCUCUCUCUACCGUACCUGCUGUCUCUAACUCUGAAUGAUCGGCUAUGAAAAGCCAACUGACAUUUACUCCUGAGGUGCUGACCUAUAAUCUCCACCCAGCACAGCCAGAAGAGGACUGGCCACCCCUCAGAGCCUGGUUCCUUUCUAGGUUUCUUC